rnacentral:rRNA from 1 species
UACGUAGGGUGCGAGCGUUGUCCGGAAUUAUUGGGCGUAAAGAGCUUGUAGGCGGUUUGUCGCGUCUGCUGUGAAAACCCGAGGCUCAACCUCGGGCCUGCAGUGGGUACGGGCAGACUAGAGUGCGGUAGGGGAGAGUGGAAUUCCUGGUGUAGCGGUGAAAUGCGCAGAUAUCAGGAGGAACACCGGUGGCGAAGGCGGUUCUCUGGGCAUUACCUGACGGCUGAGGAGCGGAAAGUG